rnacentral:tRNA from 1 species
GGGCCUAUCGUCUAGUGGCAAGACACAUCCAUGGCAUGGAUGGGAUCGGAGUUCGAUUCUCCGUAGGUCCACAA